rnacentral:rRNA from 1 species
AACGAACGCUGGCGGCAGGCCUAACACAUGCAAGUCGAACGAGAUCUUCGGAUCUAGUGGCGGACGGGUGAGUAACGCGUGGGAACGUGCCCUUCUCUACGGAAUAGUCCUGGGAAACUGGGUUUAAUACCGUAUACGCCCUUCGGGGGAAAGAAUUUCGGGGAAGGAUCGGCCCGCGUUGGAUUAGGUAGUUGGUGGGGUAAUGGCCUACCAAGCCGACGAUCCAUAGCUGGUUUGAGAGGAUGAUCAGCCACACUGGGACUGAGACACGGCCCAGACUCCUACGGGAGGCAGCAGUGGGGAAUCUUAGACAAUGGGGGGCAACCUCGACUAGCACUGCCGCGUGAGUGACGAAGGCCUACGGUCGGUAAAGACUCUUUCGUCCAGGGAAUGAGUAAUGACAGUACCUGGUAAGAAACCCCGGCCUAACUCCGU